rnacentral:rRNA from 1 species
CAGAGGGGGCAAGCGUUGUUCGGAAUUACUGGGCGUAAAGGGCGCGUAGGCGGCCGCCUAAGUCAGACGUGAAAUCCCUCGGCUCAACCGGGGAACUGCGUCUGAUACUGGGUGGCUUGAAUCCGGGAGAGGGAUGCGGAAUUCCAGGUGUAGCGGUGAAAUGCGUAGAUAUCUGGAGGAACACCGGUGGCGAAGGCGGCAUCCUGGACCGGCAUUGACGCUGGGGCGCGAAAGCCAGGGGAGCAAACGGGAUUAGAUACCCCGGUAGUCCUGGCCCUAAACGAUGAGUGCUUGGUGUGGCGGGUAUCGAUCCCUGCCGUGCCGAAGCUAACGCAUUAAGCACUCCGCCUGGGGAGUACGGUCGCAAGGCUG